rnacentral:rRNA from 1 species
AUCAACGCUGGCGGCGUGCCUAACACAUGCAAGUCGAACGAGAAAGUGGAGCAAUCCAUGAGUAAAGUGGCGACCGGGUGAGUAACACGUGACUAACCUGCCUUCGAGUGGGGGAUAACCUCGGGAAACCGGGGCUAAUACCGCAUAAUGCCUUCGGGUUAAAGGAGUAAUUCGCUUGAAGAGGGGGUCGCGGCUGAUUAGCUAGUUGGUGAGGUAAUGGCUCACCAAGGCGAUGAUCGGUAGCCGGCCUGAGAGGGCGCACGGCCACACUGGAACUGAAACACGGUCCAGACUCCUACGGGAGGCAGCAGUGGGGAAUUUUGCGCAAUGGGGGAAACCCUGACGCAGCAACGCCGCGUGGAGGAUGAAGUCCCUUGGGACGUAAACUCCUUUCGGCCGGGACGAUUAUGACGGUACCGGUGGAAGAAGCCCCGGCUAACUUCGUGCCAGCAGCCGCGGUAAUACGAGGGGGGCAAGCGUUGUUCGGAAUUAUUGGGCGUAAGGGUAGGUAGGUGGUCGCAGAAGUCCGAGGUGAAAUCCCUGAGCUUAACUCAGGACGUGCCUUGGAAACUUUGUGACUAGAGUACUGGAGAGGUUCGUGGAAUUCCCGGUGUAGCGGUGAAAUGCGUAGAGAUCGGGGGGAACAUCAGAGGCGAAGGCGACGAACUGGACAGUAACUGACACUGAACUACGAAAGCGUGGGGAGCAAACAGGAUUAGAUACCCUGGUAGUCCACGCUGUAAACGAUGGGUACUAGGAUUGGUGGGAGUUGACCCCUGCCGAUCCGGAGCUAACGCAAUAAGUACCCCGCCUGGGAAGUACGGUCGCAAGACUAAAACUCAAAGGAAUUGACGGGAGCCCGCACAAGUGGUGGAUUAUGUGGUUUAAUUCGAAGCAACGCGCAGAACCUUACCUAGGUUUGACAUCCUUUGACAAACGCAGAGAUGCGUCUUUCGUAGCAAUACGACAAAGAGACAGGUGCUGCAUGGCUGUCGUCAGCUCGUGUGGUGGCAUGUCGGGUUAAGUCCCUCAACGAGCGCAACCCCUGUGUUUAGUUGCCAGCAUUAAGUUGGGCACUCUAGACAGACUGCCGUGGUUAACACGGAGGAAGGCGGGGAUGACGUCAAGUCCUCAUGGCCCUUAUGGGCUGGGCUACACACGUGCUACAAUGGCGGUGACAGAGGGAUGCGAGGCAGCAAUGCCAAGCCGAUCCCGAAAAGCCGUCUCAGUUCGGAUUGCACUCUGCAACUCGAGUGCAUGAAGUCGGAAUCGCUAGUAAUCGCGGAUCAGCACGCCGCGGUGAAUACGUUCCCGGGCCUUGUACACACCGCCCGUCACACCAUGGGAGUUGGCUUUACCCGAAGGCGGCGCGCCAACCGCAAGGAGGCAGCCGACCACGGUAAGGUCAGCGACUGGGGUG